rnacentral:rRNA from 1 species
GAUUCCCUAGUGAUUUCUGGUUGAUCCCGGCGGAGGCUACUGCUAUUGGGAUUCGAUUAAGCCAUGCAAGUUGAAUGAAUUUAGAUUCAUGGCGUACGGCUCAGUAACACGUGGAUAACUUACCCUUAGGACUGGGAUAACUCUGGGAAACUGGGGAUAAUACCGGAUAUUAGGCUAUGUCUGCAAUGGUUUGCCUUUGAAAUGUUUCUUUGUAUUCGCCUAAGGAUAGAUCUGCGGCUGAUUAGGUCGUUGGUGGGGUAAUGGCCCACCAAGCCGAUGAUCGGUACGGGUUGUGAGAGCAAGGGCCCGGAGAUGGAACCUGAGACAAGGUUCCAGACCCUACGGGGUGCAGCAGGCGCGAAACCUCCGCAAUGUACGAAAGUGCGACGGGGGGAUCCCAAGUGUUAUGCUUAAAGGUAUGACUUUUCAUUAGUGUAAAAAGCUUUUAGAAUAAGAGCUGGGCAAGACCGGUGCCAGCCGCCGCGGUAACACCGGCAGCUCGAGUGGUAGCUGUUUUUAUUGGGCCUAAAGCGUUCGUAGCCGGUUUAAUAGUCUUUGGUGAAGCUUGUAGCUUACCUAUAGAAUGCUGGAGAACUAUGGACUUGAGUCGGGAGAGUUAGAGUACUCCGGGUAGGGGUGAAUCUAUAUCCUGGAGACACUGUGGCGAAGCGCUACUGGACAUCUGACGGAGUACGAAGCAGGGCCGACCGAUAAACCCGGAAGCCGCCGAACAUGGACUGGGUUGAUGCCUUAAUUUCCGGCAAGGAACUGUAUCCCCCUGGAAUCGUCCCAAUGACUAAGAAUGGGGGACCCACCCGGACCCG